GUUCUGAGCAUGUAACUUGGAGGAGAAGAUGAAGGGCAGAUGAAGAGCCUCUGUUGCAGUGAACUCAGAGCAGGGACAUUGUCUUGAGAAAAGGAAAAACAGAGCAGUACAAAGAGAGUUUGAAGAGCCCUGUGGUCCCAAAGGGCUGCCUGCCCCUUCUUUUAGCAGCUUUCAAGAUACUCUCCUUGUGCCACUUUGCUACUGAAUUUUUAAGAUGCUGAGGGCCAGGAAACUCCUG
rnacentral:lncRNA from 1 species